GUUGGCCAACUUCCGAAAGCCCUACAAUAGAAACGGUUUCUCCACCGAACCCUUGCUCUUACAAUCCAUGUUACAAUGGAGGUACAUGUGUCCCACAAAGAUCUUACUACUGGCCUUAUAACUAUGUGGACUACAACUGCACAUGCCCCUGGGCGAGAUACGGGAAGAGAUGUGAAUAUUACGGGUGGCAAACUACCGAAGGUCCCACAACAGAAUCGGUAACACAAAGUAUGUACAGGUUUUUUUUUUAUAUACCUUAGUUAUUGGGCGUAUCAAAUCA